AUUUUAUUAGUAUAUUAAAAGUACCACUAACUUCCAAUUAGUAAGAUCUUCUAAGAAUAAAAUA
rnacentral:tRNA from 1 species